UGUCCUUGUCUAGGAUUCCUGGAGUCUCCUGAUUAAAAAAAGUUGUUUAUCGCCGGCUCCAUUUCCGGCUCUGGGAUCUCCUCCUAAGAGAAAUAAAGUUACCCGAUCAACUUAC